rnacentral:rRNA from 1 species
AUCUAUGGCCAUACCACCCUGAAUAUACCCAAUCCUGUCUGAUCUUAGAAGGUAAGCACAGUCGGGCCUGGUUAGUACUUGGAUGGGAGAAAGAAACACCUUAUUCUAGACCUUCUGGAACAGUUCUAGUUU